rnacentral:rRNA from 1 species
GACGAACGCUGGCGGCGCGCCUAACACAUGCAAGUCGAACGGAGUUAUUUUCUUCACUCCGAGCUUUUUGCCGGUUAGCCGGAGCGGCAAUCGGUUUUGCCCAGCAUAAAAAGCAAAACCGAUUUAGGCUCAUAAAGUAAGACUAACACAGAGGGCAGAGAGUUGGGAGUGAAGAAAAUAACUUAGUGGCGAACGGGUGAGUAACGCGUGAGUAACCUGCCCUGGAGUGGGGGACAACAGUUGGAAACGACUGCUAAUACCGCAUAAGCCCACGGAUCCGCAUGGAUCUGCGGGAAAAGGAUUUAUUCGCUUCAGGAUGGACUCGCGUCCAAUUAGCUAGUUGGUGAGGUAACGGCCCACCAAGGCGACGAUUGGUAGCCGGACUGAGAGGUUGAACGGCCACAUUGGGACUGAGACACGGCCCAGACUCCUACGGGAGGCAGCAGUGGGGGAUAUUGCACAAUGGGGGAAACCCUGAUGCAGCGACGCCGCGUGGAGGAAGAAGGUUUUCGGAUUGUAAACUCCUGUCGUUAGGGACGAUAAUGACGGUACCUAACAAGAAAGCACCGGCUAACUACGUGCCAGCAGCCGCGGUAAAACGUAGGGUGCAAGCGUUGUCCGGAAUUACUGGGUGUAAAGGGAGCGCAGGCGGACCGGCAAGUUGGAAGUGAAAACUAUGGGCUCAACCCAUAAAUUGCUUUCAAAACUGCUGGCCUUGAGUAGUGCAGAGGUAGGUGGAAUUCCCGGUGUAGCGGUGGAAUGCGUAGAUAUCGGGAGGAACACCAGUGGCGAAGGCGACCUACUGGGCACCAACUGACGCUGAGGCUCGAAAGCAUGGGUAGCAAACAGGAUUAGACACCCUGGUAGUCCAUGCCGUAA